AUUGAACGCUGGCGGCAGGCUUAACACAUGCAAGUCGAGCGGAGAUGAGGUGCUUGCACCUUAUCUUAGCGGCGGACGGGUGAGUAAUGCUUAGGAAUCUGCCUAUUAGUGGGGGACAACAUUCCGAAAGGAAUGCUAAUACCGCAUACGUCCUACGGGAGAAAGCAGGGGAUCUUCGGACCUUGCGCUAAUAGAUGAGCCUAAGUCGGAUUAGCUAGGUGGUGGGGAAAAGGCCUACCAAGGCGACGAUCUGGAGCGGGUCUGAGAGGAUGAUCCGCCACACUGGGGCUGAGAAACGGCCCAGACUCCGACGGGAGGCAGCAGUGGGGAAUAUUGGACAAUGGGGGAAACCCUGAUCCAGCCAUGCCGCGUGUGUGAAGAAGGCCUUAUGGUUGUAAAGCACUUUAAGCGAGGAGGAGGCUACUGAGACUAAUACUCUUGGAUAGUGGACGUUACUCGCAGAAUAAGCACCGGCUAACUCUGUGCCAGCCGCCGCCGCGGUAA
rnacentral:rRNA from 1 species